UACGAAGGGGGCUAGCGUUGCUCGGAAUCACUGGGCGUAAAGGGUGCGUAGGCGGGUCUUUAAGUCAGGGGUGAAAUCCUGGAGCUCAACUCCAGAACUGCCUUUGAUACUGAAGAUCUUGAGUCCGGGAGAGGUGAGUGGAACUGCGAGUGUAGAGGUGAAAUUCGUAGAUAUUCGCAAGAACACCAGUGGCGAAGGCGGCUCACUGGCCCGGAACUGACGCUGAGGCGCGAAAGCGUGGGGAGCAAACAGG
rnacentral:rRNA from 1 species